UACGAAGGGGGCUAGCGUUGCUCGGAAUCACUGGGCGUAAAGGGUGCGUAGGCGGGUCUUUAAGUCAGGGGUGAAAUCCUGGAGCUCAACUCCAGAACUGCCUUUGAUACUGAGGAUCUUGAGUUCGGGAGAGGUGAGUGGAACUGCGAGUGUAGAGGUGAAAUUCGUAGAUAUUCGCAAGAACACCAGUGGCGAAGGCGGCUCACUGGCCCGAUACUGACGCUGAGGCACGAAAGCGUGGGGAGCAAACAGGGA
rnacentral:rRNA from 1 species